UACGGAGGGUGCGAGCGUUGUCCGGAAUCACUGGGCGUAAAGGGCGCGUAGGCGGCCCGCGCAAGCGUGCGGUGAAAGCCCGGGGCUCAACCCCGGGUCGGCCGUGCGGACUGCGGGGCUCGAGCACUGUAGGGGCAGAUGGAAUUCCGGGUGUAGCGGUGGAAUGCGUAGAGAUCCGGAAGAACACCGGUGGCGAAGGCGGUCUGCUGGGGCAGUAGCUGACGCUGAGGCGCGACAGCGUGGGGGAGCAAAACAGG
rnacentral:rRNA from 1 species